UGAACGCUGGCGGCGUGCCUAACACAUGCAAGUCGAACGGAGAAUAUACGCUUCAGAAGCUUCGGCAGAUGAUUGUAUAUUCUAGUGGCGGACGGGUGAGUAACGCGUGGGCAACCUGCCUCAUACUGGGGGAUAACAGCUGGAAACGACUGUUAAUACCGCAUAAGCGCACAGUGUCGCAUGACACAGUGUGAAAAACUCCGGUGGUAUGAGAUGGGCCCGCGUCAGAUUAGCCAGUUGGCGGGUAACGGCCCACCAAAGCGACGAUCUGUAGCCGGCCUGAGAGGGCGGACGGCCACAUUGGGACUGAGACACGGCCCAAACUCCUACGGGAGGCAGCAGUGGGGGAUAUUGCACAAUGGAGGAAACUCUGAUGCAGCGACGCCGCCGUGAGUGAAGAAGUAUUUCGGUAUGUAAAGCUCUAUCAGCAGGGAAGAAAGGCUCGUAAGAGAGAUGACGGUACCUGACUAAGAAGCCCCGGCUAACUACGUGCCAGCCGCCGC
rnacentral:rRNA from 1 species